rnacentral:rRNA from 1 species
ACGGAAGGCAGCAGUGGGGAAUAUUGCACAAUGGGGGAAACCCUGAUGCAGCGACGCCGCGUGAAGGAAGAAGUAUCUCGGUAUGUAGACUUCUAUCAGCAGGGAAGAAAAUGACGGUACCUGACUAAGAAGCCCCGGCUAACUACGUGCCAGCAGCCGCGGUAAUACGUAGGGGGCAAGCGUUAUCCGGAUUUACUGGGUGUAAAGGGAGCGUAGACGGAAUUGCAAGUCUGAUGUGAAAGGCAUGGGCUCAACCUGUGGACUGCAUUGGAAACUGUGAUUCUUGAGUGCCGGAGGGGUAAGCGGAAUUCCUGGUGUAGCGGUGAAAUGCGUAGAUAUCAGGAGGAACACCGGUGGCGAAGGCGGCUUACUGGACGGCAACUGACGUUGAGGCUCGAAGGCGUGGGGAGCAAACAGGAUUAGAUACCCUGGUA